AUCUGAAGCAGUCCCUGCCCCUGAUUUCUUCUCCGUCGACAAUGCCGCAGCUGAACACUUCUACCUCCCGGUUCCAUGCUCAUUCUCGUGGAGCCGGGCCCAAGAUACCGGCUCAUGAGAACGAGCGGCGCCUUGAGGGUAGCUAGUUUCGUGGUAAUAUUAAAGACAAGAGCCAUAUGAUUCAACUCCAUAAAUAUACUACUGGAGGCUCCUUGUCCAGACAAUACCUAUGGCGUUGAUUGUGGAAGCGAUCCAAAAGUUAUUCCUAACCUCACAUUUGAAGAAUUUAAGAGGAGAAAACUGACGAACAAGAGCCUCCCAAGGAGGAAGAGGUGAAAACUGUUGAUCAAGAGGCUUAGAAGGUUGAAACAGAGAAAGAGAAGGCUGUAGUUGUGGUGACCGAGGUUGCUUCUGUGGAUGACGAUGGCGUCAAGACUGUGGAAGCAAUCGAAGAAUCCGUCGUAUUUGUAACCCCUGCCCCAGUCGACGAGGCAAGCUCAUCAGCAAAAACAGAAGCGCGGAGGAACCGAAGAAGAAGGAAGAAGAAAAGGAAGAACAAGAUCAAUUGAACGUUUGGAUGUAAGUGAAUAAGAUCAAUUGUAUAUAUUUCAAUUAAUUUCUGAGUAAGAAGCGGAGGCCUUGUGUUAAUCUUGAUGUUUUAGCAUUUUUCAUUUUUCUUUCUUUCUAUCUGUUAAUUUUUUAAUCUGGAGAUAUGGAUUUUAAGCUUCCAUUGUUUGCUGGCAGCCAGAGCACCAGGGUAGUGGUCUUGGACCUGUUUUGGUUGCUGCAAUCCCUACUAUCUAGGGUAAAUUGACAAGUGAAUGUCGAGUCAUGAGUCCGUACAAUGCAUUUCUUGAUCAUGUGACUUCUCUAAUUGCAACUAUUUUCCUUUGCAAUAGAUAAUUGUUUUCUUUAAUGUCUGACUAUAGCAAAUUCAAAAUUCAUAUAGCUGACUUUUUUUUUUGUCAAUUUGAAGAUCGGAGAUGCUGAGAUCUUUGCAACUAUUUAACCAGAAAGAUGGAAUUGUUAGAGUCCUAUAUAAAUCCUGUGAGAUAAUUAAGCGCAUUGACUCGUCGAUUUUAAUGAUUUUGCUCAUUUUUGCCACUUUUCUUGUUUCAUUUGGGUUUAAUUUUAACAUUGGGCUUACCAAUUUAGCAAAUCAUCAAAUAUAUAUUUUGCCAAGUCGUGUAUAUUUUUCUUUAUGGAGAAGAAGAAGAGUAAGAAGAAUCAGAAAUGUGGUGGUGUGGAUGAGCAAGUUGAGAAGAAGAUAUAUCCGACUGGAGCUGAGCAUUACGAGCUCUAUGAGGAGGUUGGCCAUGGUGUUAGCGCUUCUGUACAUCGAGCUCUCUGUAAGCCCUUAAACGAGAUUGUCGCCAUCAAAAUUCUUGAUUUCGAGCGCGAGAAUUGUGAUUUGGUACUUUUUAUUGUUAAAUUUUUGAGAUUUGGUAUUGUGUAAAAAAAAUAUACACAAAUUGCAUAUUAGAAUCUGUAAAAUUAAAAAUAUGGGUGAUGAUUUCGUUAUUA